GCUGUGUACACACUGCUUAUCCCAGGCUGAAUGGCAAAUUAACAGUAAGCUUAGUAGCCCGUCAGAAGCAACAAAAACCACAAAACAAUUAUUUUCCUGUUUUUUUUUACUUUUCCCGAAACAAAAAAUCGCGACGAAAAUCAAAAAAUCUGAAUAAAUUCCCAAGUUGAUAAGUGCAUAUGUGUGUGCGUACUCAAUAUACAAUUUGAGCUCCAAAACCAGUUCUCGGAAGCAGGAAACUGUAAACAAGAAACACACUCAAACUGAAGACGACUCGCCGGCCCGGCUCUCACUUGCAUUUUUGUGUUCGUUUUGCUCCCCCAAUUUGUGUUUCUCGCUGCACGCCCCACGCCACGCCCCAACCCCCCCGGUUCUAUGCGUCUGGCCUAAACAGCAGCCACAGCCACACAGCAACAACGUUAACA
rnacentral:sRNA from 1 species